AUGCCCAGCUAAUUUUUUCUAUUUUUAGUAGAGAUGGGGGGGGUCUCACUAUGUUGGCCAGGCUGGUCUCGAACUCGUGACCUCAGGUGAUCUGCCCACCUCCACCCUGUGUCCUUACCUUGUCUCAGCUCUGCCCAUUACUGCUGGUGCCCCUGAUGCUCCCGCAUGGGCGAAGGGGAGGGGCUGGCCCUGAGUGGGGGUGUGCUCUUGUGUUGCUGUCGGGGAGUCCAGGAGUGAGAGCUACUGAGCUCUUCUUGGUUGUCACCAUCCCAGUGGAUUUGGGGGUCCCAAAGACCACCUUCAGGUUGGAUGAUUUGCUAGUAGGAUUCAGAGAACUCAGCAAAACUGUUAUACUCCUGGUUGUAGUUUAUUACAGUGAAGGAAACAUUAAAAUUAGCCGUGGAAAAAGGUGCAUAAGGCAGAAUCCAGGAGCCAGGCAUGCGCUUCCAGUUCUCCUCUCGCAAUGGAGUUGUGUAGAUAGCACUUAAUUCUCCCAGCAAUGAUGUGUGACAACACACAGGGGGUACUGUCAACCAGGGAGGUUCACCUGAGCCAUGGUGUCCUGGGUUUUCACUGGGGUCAGUCACAUAGGCGUGCAGCAUCCGCAUGACUGAAUGCAGUUACUAAGUCUCUCAGUCACACAGGCGUGCGGCAUCUGCAUGACUGAAUGCAGUUACUAAGUCUCUCAGUCACACAGGCGUGCAGCAUCCGCAUGACUGAAUGCAGUUACUAAGUCUCUCAGUCACACAGGCGUGGGGCAUCUGCAUGACUGAAUGCAGUUACUAAGUCUCUCAGUCACGUAGGCGAUGACUGAAUGUAGUUAUUAAGUCUCUCAGUCACACAGGCGUGCAGCAGCCACAUGACUGAAUGUAGUUACUAAGUCUCUAGCACCCCCCAGAGAUCAGAUGAUGCAGCACUGGUCCAAGGCCCGCACCGGAAAUCACACUGUUAGCAUAAACUAUCUGGUGUGAAAAAGACACUCUUAACAGGCAGAGAUUCCAAGGGCUUUGAGGUUACCUCCCAGGAGCAGGUCAAGGGCCAGACCUUUGUUUCGAAUGUGCAGGGGUUGGACAACCUAGGCCUGCUGAAUUAACCGUUUACGGCACCCUUGGCUACAGCCGAAGGAAGCUUCUUAUCUCACGAUCAUUUCCUUUGUUUCAAUGACUUGUUUAUCAGGGAUCUUGGGUGUACCCUUGGAUUGUGUGUGUGUGUGUGUGUGUGUGUGUAUACCAGAGGGGAUUGCAUGUCAACUAGGGACAGGGCAUUCUGUGUGGUCUGGAGGGCAGGCCCAUGUCCUGUCCAGCCACAAUCCUAGGCCAAUGUUCUGGGACAUUAUGCGAGCUGGUGCAGUGAACACUUAGGAACACUGGCCACAUGUUGACUGGCCUGACUGAUUGGUUGGUCUAGAGGCCUGGCCCCUUUGUGCUUAGAGUAGGGCUGAGGAUACUAAUGUUUCCCUCUCUCCUUAGCAUUGACCUAGGCUGCUUCUGAGGACUGGCAGUCUGGAGACCUGGCAGAGGCUGCCAAACCUUUUGUGGAUGGAGCUCAAGUGAACUGUUAGUCUAACAAGGUCUCUGACUGGCCUCUGCUGGCCUCAGGUGAAGAGAACCUUCUACCAGAACGUAUCCUCUCCAGCGGCGUUCUUCCAGCCCUCUACGGUGUGCACAAUGGGAACUUCCAGGUGUGUGCAGAGACCACGGCAGGGCGUCGGGGGCAGGUGUUGCCCAGAGCUCUGGCCCGCCCGAGAUGUUGGCUUCCAUGAAGGUUUGGAGGCCAGUAAGGGAGCCUUGUCAGUGCUUGGAGCCUUUUUUGUAUAUUCAGUGUAUUUCAAUUUAUACGCUGUGUCUCAAAUGGGGAAAAACUAGCUUUAUUUUCCAUUGCUGAUUUCUUUUUGUUCUCAUGUCUCCAGUUCCAUUGUUGAUGGAAAAAUGUAAAUUUCUCAUGACUUAUCUCUGCCCCUCUGGUUUGCCGCUGUCUGCACGCACCAUGUGCCUCACCUCCUCCUGCGAAGGUGUCUGUCCUGUGGCCGUGGGGAAGGGUCUGUGGUGUGUGCACUGCCCUCGGGGCUCUCACUGCCUCUGGGCUCCUGCUCUGCCUGGUCCCCUGGUCCCCCUGGAACGCAUGCUGGCACCACAGCUGAGGAGUGGGCUCUGCACUUCCGCCUCUGUGGGCCCUGUUGGGCCCCCACAGCCCAGGAAUCAGUGAGCAACUUGGGGGUUGCAUCAGGCCCUCCCCUCCCUGCUGUGCUGGCGGUUCAUGCUGCCUGAGUGGGAGGAGCAGGAGAGGGAGGACUCCAGUGAGUGUCUCUGGUUUUUCCCCUCAAACUCCUCACUUUGGGCAAAGGACAAGAAGCAGUGAGGGCACCUCCCUGGGUUCUGGGCCAAGCUGACCUCUCUUCUCCAGGAUCUUCCCUCCCUGUGCCCUAGGGUAUCCCUGGGCCCUGUGCGGCAAGGAUGCCCCCUCCACACUGCGGCUCCAGCUUACUAUGCAGGAAAAUCCUUUUCUCUCUCAAUGACGAGACUGGUUUUCAAGAUUUCUGUGCAAACAUUUAAUUUGAACCGUAAACCGGGCACCUGGCUCUUGGCAGAGUCCCCCUCUUUCCCCAAGGUGGUAGGUGUGACCAUCAAGAGCCUGGGCAGCUGAGAACAAGGCUGAGCAGGGCACAGAUUGUGACUUGUCCUGGACUGUCAUCCUGUUGCAGGCACCAGCUCUUCCCUAGAGAACAAGGGCACCUGCCAGGGGUUAUUUAGACCCUCUGGUGGGGAUCUGGUGCCGUAGGUUGGUCUCCAGGGAGCAGUGCAGUGAUGGAGGGUGUGGUGUGUGUGGUGCAUGGGAUGGAGGUUCCUGGUCUCACCAAGGGAACAGCUUCCUUUUGGAGGUGGGGGCCUUCUGUGGCCCCACAGAAGGAUCCUGGUCUGUUAGCCUUAGCCCAGUGCUUUGAAAGUCACCAGUCCUGACAGCAACUCGUGUGUGUGUGUGUGUGUGUGUGUGUGUGUGUGUUUGUGUGGUGGGAAUGCCCGGUCUCUGUAGCUGCUGAAAGGCCUUGAGGCACAUGCUGUUGGGAGUUGGCUCUGUCCUGGGCAAGAUGUCACCAUCUGUACCUUGCUUGAGGCUGCUGUGGGCACCAGGCUCUGUGCUAGUGGAGUGGAGGGGAACCUGGUCCUCUCCAUACAACCCAGCAGGUACGCCGCCUAUGUGCCUGUGGAGAACAGCGGUUCCUGUAGGGCCCACAGGUGUGGACCAAGUAGCUGUGAAAUUUCUUCUGAAGAAAAUGCACAAGGAGGACGUGAGUGAGCUCAGCGGAGGAGGGGCGCUACCCCAGGGGACGUCCCCAUGCAUGGGCUUAUGUACCCCGAAUGUCUGAGACGGUCUCAGUCAAUUUAGGAAGUUUAUUUUGCCAAGGUUGAGGACGCACGCCCAGGACACAGCCUCAGGAGGUCUUGACGACACGUGCCCAAGGGGUCGGGAGACAGCUUUGUUUUAUACAUUUUAGGGAGACAGGAGACAUCAAUAUAUGUAAGAUGAACGUUGGUUCCGUCGGGAAAGGCAGGACAACUCAACGCAGGGAGGGGCUUCCAGGUCACAGGUAGGUGAGAGACAAACUGUUGUAUUCUUUUGGGUUUCUGAAUAGCCUCCCCAAAGGAGGCCAUCAGAUAUGCACUUAUCUCAGUGAGCAGAGGGGUGACUUUGAAUAGAAGGGGAGGCAGGUUUGUCCUAAGCAGUUCCCAGCUUUUUUCCCUUUAGAUUAGUGAUUUUUGGGCCCUCAGAUUCAUUUUUCUUUCCCAGGCUAAACAGCUUUAGGAACUGGAAGUUUCAUGAGGCUGUAAGGAAGAGUCGAGUUACUGCAGGUGAGCCUCGGCCACAACAGCAUGCAGGACCUGGGCGCCCACGAGGGCCUCCUGGGAGGGUUGGGGAAAGGGAGCUGUGGACCCUGACUAUCUGAGAUGGUUUCAGGUGAUUUAGAAAGUUCAUUUUGCCGAGGUUGAGGACGUGCACCCGUGACAGCCUCAGGAGAUCCUGGUGACAAGUGCCCAAGGUGGUCAGGGCACAGCUUGGUUUUAGGGAGACAUGAGAUGUCAGUCAAUACAUGUCAGAAGUACCUUGCUUCCAUCCAGAAAGGUGGGGACAACUGGAAGCAGGGAGGGGGCUUCCAAGGUCACAGGUAGGUGACAGACAAAUGUUGCGUUGUUUUGAGUUUCUGGUUAGCCUCUCCAAAGGAGGCCAUCGGUCGUGCACCUAUCUUAGUGAGGAGAUAGGUGAUUUGGAAUAGAAUGGGAGGCAGGUUUGCCUUGAGCCAUUCCCAGCUUGGCUUUUCCCUUUAGCUUAGUAAUUUUGGGGUCCCCAGAUUUUCUUUUCACAGAGCCUAUGACUAGAUUUGCAUUUUUAGAUCCUGUGAGGAGGCUGCUACACACAUGCAGAAGUCAUGCUGGUGGCCUGGACACUGAAGGGAGAGAAGUGGAUUAGAGAGAUAUUUAGGAGGUAGGAUUGCCAGGGCCUUGGUGAUAGC